rnacentral:tRNA from 1 species
GAGGAUAUAGAUCAGUGGUACAGCACUUGCCUAGCAUGCAUGAGGCACUGGGUUCUAUCCCCAGUACCUGAG